ACGGUGCCCUCCCCAAUUGACAUAGCUAACAAUGCUAUUGACGAUCACCUGGCCAAGAGGCUCACUGAGUUGUGUGGUUAUGGGAAGAAAUUAGUUGUAGGGAGUGCGCAAUAUAAAGCAAUAAUUGAAAUGAACCUGGGAAUAACCUGUCUGCAUGUUGAUGUUCCGGAUUGUGAGAUGAUAAUUUGUAGUCAGAAGAAGCCCAUGCGUACUUUAUCGCCUAAAAGACUCAGAUCCUACUGAAGAUUUAACAUUGUACUUACAUCAACAUGACAUUACUUGCAAGCUUGAGACGGUUAACGAUUCUAUUAUUAAGGAAGCUCAUCGCUUGCAUCAAAUCGAAUUGCGUGAAAGGAACAUUUGAAGUUCUUGCGCCUUCUUCUUAAGGAUUUUAUGAUGAAAUCUGGCAUUGACACUGAGAAUUGGAUUCUAAUCCAAUUUGCAACAGCUCUGAAGAUGAUUUGUUACCCUGGAGCAUCAUAUAGAGUUUACCGCCCUGAUAAGGUGUGUAUUUUUAGAUGUCUUUCGAGUAUGUGCAUGCUGGAAGUUGUCUUUUUAGCAAUGAUCUUGUUAUGACCGGUUUAGCUUAUAACCGGAGAAG